UACAGAGGUCCCAAGCGUUGUUCGGAUUCACUGGGCGUAAAGGGUGCGUAGGCGGUCGGGUAAGUCUGACGUGAAAUCUUCGAGUCUAACUCGGAAACUGCGUCGGAUACUAUUCGGCUAGAGGAAUGGAGGGGAGACUGGAAUACUUGGUGUAGCAGUGAAAUGCGUAGAUAUCAAGUGGAACACCAGUGGCGAAGGCGAGUCUCUGGACAUUUCCUGACGCUGAGGCACGAAAGCCAGGGGAGCAAACGGG
rnacentral:rRNA from 1 species